GGCCAAAGAACUGAAAGGGGUUUCGGAAAUGUCGGAAUCUGGGAGACCCAUGUCGGAAAUAGGACUUGAUGGGGUAACUGAUCGAUUGAAGAACUCAUUGACUUGCGCGGAAGAUGGAAAUGGAGUUGAAAUUAACAAGCCCGAUUUUCGAGAACUCGAUCUGGGUUCACCUGUUUCUCCAUUACGGAAUCGACCGCGUGGAUUCACCGCUACUACUACUACUACUACGACGA
rnacentral:misc_RNA from 1 species